rnacentral:sRNA from 1 species
CGAUUUGCUGCGGGCAAAUAUAGUGAAUGUGUGAAUCCACCCCACCUGCGGUUAAGAUCUGGCCCUCACCAGCAAUCACUUCGGUUCCAGGACCGACGACGAUGUUUACCCCGUCUUGCACGUCGGGGUUUCCGGCCUUGCCGAUGACAGCAAUAAAGCCAUUUUUCAAUCCCACAUCAGCCUUGACGAUCCCCCAGUGAUCGAGGAUCACGCAGUUGGUGAUCACGGUAUCGACCGACUCGGUGCAGCUGACCUGCGACUGACCCAUGCCGUCGCG